rnacentral:tRNA from 1 species
UCCCGUGUGGCUGAGUUGGUAGACCAUGGCGCUUGUAACGCCAGGGUUGUGGGUUUGACUCCCGCAGGGGGAC